rnacentral:rRNA from 1 species
CCCCCCAAAUUUCGCCCUCAAAUCAGGUAGGACUACCCGCUGAACUUAAGCAUAUCAAUAAGCGGAGGAAAAGAAACCAACAGGGAUUGCCUCAGUAACGGCGAGUGAAGCGGCAAAAGCUCAAAUUUGAAAUCCUGCGGGAGUUGUAAUUUGAAGGUUUCGGGUUCUGAGGCUGUGCGCGCCCAAGUCCAUUGGAACAUGGCGCCUGGGAGGGUGAGAGCCCCGUCCGGCGCAGCACAGUUUUUUUUGCGACCCGAUUCCGACGAGUCGAGUUGUUUGGGAAUGCAGCUCAAAGUGGGUGGUAAAUUCCAUCUAAAGCUAAAUAUUGGCGAGAGACCGAUAGCGAACAAGUACAGUGAUGGAAAGAUGAAAAGCACUUUGAAAAGAGAGUGAAACAGUACGUGAAAUUGUUGAAAGGGAAGGGCUUGCAAGCAGACACGGUUUCGGCCGGGCCAGCAUCGGUUUGCCGGGGUGGACAAGACGGCGGGAAUGUGGCGCGGCUCCUCUGGAGGCGCGUGUUUAUAGCCCGGCGUGAUACACCCAUGGUAGACCGAGGCCUGCGAUCCA